rnacentral:rRNA from 1 species
CGAAAGCAGGUCAUAGUGAUCCGGUGGUUCUGAAUGGAAGGGCCAUCGCUCAACGGAUAAAAGGUACUCCGGGGAUAACAGGCUGAUACCGCCCAAGAGUUCAUAUCGACGGCGGUGUUUGGCACCUCGAUGUCGGCUCAUCACAUCCUGGGGCUGAAGUAGGUCCCAAGGGUAUGGCUGUUCGCCAUUUAAAGUGGUACGCGAGCUGGGUUUAGAACGUCGUGAGACAGUUCGGUCCCUAUCUGCCGUGGGCGCUGGAGAACUGAGGGGGGCUGCUCCUAGUACGAGAGGACCGGAGUGGACGCAUCACUGGUGUUCGGGUUGUCAUGCCAAUGGCACUGCCCGGUAGCUAAAUGCGGAAGAGAUAAGUGCUGAAAGCAUCUAAGCACGAAACUUGCCCCGAGAUGAGUUCUCCCUGACCCUUUAAGGGUCCUGAAGGAACGUUGAAGACGACGA